GGCUGGUUAGCUCAGUCAGUUGAGCGUAGCGCUACUAACGCUAAGAUCCUGGGUUCGAUUCCCAUUCGGUCC
rnacentral:tRNA from 1 species